rnacentral:tRNA from 1 species
AGAGAGAUGGCUCAGUGGUUAAGAGCACUGACUCAUGAUCCAGAGGACCCAGGUUCAAUUCCCUGGCCGUCCCA